GCUCUCGUAGCUUAGUUGGUUAGAGCACCUGUUUAGUAUGUAGGAGGUCUUGAGUUCAACUCUCAGUGAGAGCA
rnacentral:tRNA from 1 species